rnacentral:rRNA from 1 species
UUCCGGUUGAUCCCGUCGGACCCGACUGCUAUCAGAGUGGGACUAAGCCAUGCGAGUCAACAUAGCAAUAUGUGGCAUACGGCUCAGUAACACGUAGUCAACAUGCCCAGGGGACGUGGAUAACCUCGGGAAACUGAGGAUAAACCGCGAUAGGUCAUCACUUCUGGAAUGGGUAAUGACUUAAAUCUAUAUGGCCCCUGGAUUGGACUGCGGCCGAUCAGGCUGUUGGUGAGGUAAUGGCCCACCAAACCUGUAACCGGUACGGGCUCUGAGAGGAGGAGCCCGGAGAUGGGCACUGAGACAAGGGCCCAGGCCCUAUGGGGCGCAGCAGGCGCGAAACCUCUGCAGUAGGCGAAAGCUUGACAGGGUUACUCUGAGUGAUUUCCGUUAAGGAGAUCUUUUGGCACCUCUAAAAAUGGUGCAGAAUAAGGGGUGGGCAAGUCUGGUGUCAGCCGCCGCGGUAAUACCAGCACCCCGAGUGGUCGGGACGUUUAUUGGGCCUAAAGCAUCCGUAGCCGGUUCUACAAGUCUUCCGUUAAAUCCACCUGCUUAACAGAUGGGCUGCGGAAGAUACUAUAGAGCUAGGAGGCGGGAGAGGCAAGCGGUACUCGAUGGGUAGGGGUAAAAUCCGUUGAUCCAUUGAAGACCACCAGUGGCGAAGGCGGCUUGCCAGAACGCGCUCGACGGUGAGGGAUGAAAGCUGGGGGAGCGAACCGGAUUAGAUACCCGGGUAGUCCCAGCCGUAAACGAUGCGAGCUAGAUGAUUCGGUCGCAAAUCGCGAUCGAAGUGUCGCAGGGAAGCCGUUAAGCUCGCCGCCUGGGGAGUACGGUCGCAAGACUGAAACUUAAAGGAAUUGGCGGGGGAGCA